UAAAAAGUCAAGCUCUUCAGUUAUGGUGUCUUCAUGGAAUUGUUUUUUUUUGGGAUUUUUUUUCCUUCUGUAUUUUUCUAGCCAUUGUACAUUAUUGUAACUGUAUUAAAUAUUUAUUACAUGUAAACUUUUUGUCUGCAUCUAGUUGUGCAUGCAGAAGGGCAUCUAAAGUACACUGAUAAUAUGAGUAUAUAAUUGUAUCAGAUUUGUAUGUUUUUUCUGCUCAUGGAGCUGCACAUUUUACCCCAUGUCCAUAUCAUUACACCUCUUGCAAACCUUUUGCAAUGCUAUGUUUAAUGCUAAUAUUAAUUACCUGUUUAUUUUUCAUUUUUCCUCCAAAUUCCACCGUUAAGUAUUACAGUCCCAUGAAAAUCUCUUCUUGAGCAUAUUUUUUAAACCGUUUUGCUAAUAAGUAAAUAUUUUCAUGUAAUCCAGCUUUUUUUUAACCAUCACGAAGGGUCUGGUUUUAUUGUGGAGGUGGCCAUUUUGCAUUUCCAUGAUUGAACGCCCUCAGUGACCAAUAGGGAUUGAAAAACAAGACUACGUGGAGAAUAUGUCGGCAGUCAGAUCUGAUUUUCAGUUUCGCUCGUAGCAUUCAAAUAUGCAGAAAAUGUACCCUCUGCACUGGUCUCAUUAUGCCUAUAGUUAUGUGCAAGUCUUUGGGUUUUUCUAAAAAUUAUAUAUAAUUUUCAGAUAAUGACAGCUUCUUUGUAUGUGUUGAUUGCUAAUCUCUUCUACACUCUUGCAUUAGUCUUGCCAAGUGUUGUGAGAUCUGUUGUCCAAUAUAUAAAGUUCCAAAGGAUAAUUUUGAUUCAUUAUAGAGGGACCUUUUAAAUAAAUUUUUUUUAGAAAAUCAUAUCUACAGAUUCCUUGUUU